CUGGAUGGUGUGUGUACCUCAUCUAAACCAUAGGGGAAACUGGUUUGAGAUACGAAAAGGCUUUAGCUUUCCUGUCUUCACAAACCCCACUGCAACCCUUCACCAUGGACCUUUGUCCCCACCUGGCCUAGAAAAGCUUCUUUCCUCAGACAUACCAGGCUGAUACUGGUGUACCCAUCACAGAGUUCAUGCUUGAAGCUCAGUUCUACUGGGCCCUUCCUGAAAAACAGCUAUUUCAUUGAAAACUGGACAACCAGAGUUACUUGAAGCUCAACUGCCUGAAAAAAAAAAAAAAAACUUACUCAAUAUG